GCGGAACACUAAUUUAACCCACACAUUUUGUAGAGGGGCGGCUUUAGGCGGAACACAACAGUAUCGUACCAUAUGCAUCUUUGCAUAUGCAAGUUUUUUUCUAUUCGGAAGUUGUAAGAAAUUCCGCACGAAUGUUAUAGUUCAAGCACAAAGAAGGAAAUAUAGAAGUGAGUAAAAUUGAUCAUAUGUUGUAUUUGUAUUAAAAGCAUUACAGAAGUGUACCAUUAGAUCAGCUUAUCUUAACCUGGCCGUUUGUUACUUUGUGGCAGUAUGAAAAAUGAUAAAAUAUAUGAUCAACAAACUCAUGGUGCUGAGUGUUUUUACUUAAAGGCAGUCGCUGUUCAAACUGGAUAAGUCCUUUGCGCAACUGCAGUGAAGACUUCGCGCGCCGUUCCCGCAAUUUCGCAUAAAUUGUUGAGACACACCUCUAAACAAAAGAACGGAAAGUUUUCAGCUCUUCACGGUUGAAGACGGGAAGUUUUAGCAGAAGUAUUCUAGAUUCACACGAUAGAGAACACAGCAAUUUUGACGGACUGGGUCGAGGAAACGAAACGCAAACCAAGCAAGAUAAAUGUUGCCUUAUCGGCUCGCUUGUCAGGACUGUGGUGUGAAGUUUGACACCAUCCGCCGCUUCAAGCAGCAUGUCCGCAGGAAGCAACAUCAACAGCAAGUGGCAGAGCUCUUCCAGACAGAUGAGUACCACGGUCAAGUCUACUUUGCCCCUUUCUUGGUUCUGGAGCAUCUGGCCAGGAAACCCACAAACACCCCAUAUCCCAUCAUCGGUCUGUGCCUGGUGACAUUGUGUGUGAGUCCAGAGGGGAGGGAUACUUUCUACCUUUGUCACAGUUGUGAGGAGAAGUGUGGCCCAGGACAGAUCAUAGACCACCUCCUCUCUGCUGACCACCUCUCCAACUACUAUAGCUACACAGACCCUGAUGUGUUGAGUUUCUCCUGGAUGCCUAACAUGGAUAUGUUGAACCUCCUACGGCCGCUAGCUGUCAAAGAGAUGGACAAGGAUGGACCUGGAGUGCUACGGGUGCUGGACAUGCCUAAGAGUGUGUCUGUGAAAUUGAAGACAAGUGGCUACUCUAAAGUCAUGCAGGCCCUGACUCAGACUGACAGGCUGGCUGAGUGUAUCAGAGCUGACAGACCAGAAAGGAUGACUAUACAAGAGUACCACAGAGACCCCAACAGGAAACACCCUCUGCUGGGUCUACAGCACCUGGUGGAGUACUGCUGUGAAGGGCAUGGCCAAAGGAGAUCCUACCUCUGUCAGCUCUGCCGCCUCCCUGUCCCCUCACGGAGGGUCAUCCAACACACACUCGGCUUCGACCACCUCUACUGGUACUUCAAGGUGUUUCACCCCUCCACCCUCCUGAUGAAGGACUGUUAUAAAGAGUACAGCUGCAGGUUCAUCGCCAUGAUCCUGGACCUGGCCAAUCAGGUGCAAGACAUCAGUCAGUCAGCCAAUAUGGAGAUACAGCAAGUUGUGUUGGAACCAGCAGUGUUCUCCUCAGUUGAGUUUUCUGUCUACACAGAGGCUCUGAGGAAGUUGCAGACCAUUAGGAGAGCUCGUAAGGAGGGCAGCCUUAAGACCAGCAUUAUACCUGGAGACAAACUGGUUCCUUCCUCAGAAGGGUCAAAGAUUACCAAAGAUGUUACCAUGACUAAUGUUGCUGAGGCUGUUCCUAUGGAGACCAAGUCAAGCCCAGUGAAGACCUAUGUCACACCUACAGCUGUUGAGACUGUAGCUACAGCAAGUACUGCUCCAGUUGUUACCAAAGCUACUAGCCAGAGGGGGACCUGUCGACUGCACUGUCAGGACUGCAACGUGGUAUGUGAGUCUGUGUCGCAGUACAAGUUACAUGUGCGUCACUGGAAACACAAGGAGAUGCUAGGAGUUAUCUUUGAACCAGGGGAAGAGGACAGUAAAGCCUGCAUCCCAUCCUUUACCUUGUAUGAGUACAUCCGGAACUCAGAAAGAACUGAACCAAUUAUUGGUGUCUAUCUGUUGGUGAUGUGUUUGAGUACUGAGUGUUGGAAAACGCCCUUCUACCUGUGUCACACCUGUCAGGAGAUAAUCCCUGCCAAUCUCGUCAUGACUCACCUCACCUCCACACUCCACCUUCGACGCACCCUGAUGUACCAGAGUCCGCAGUGUCUGCCAUUCGGGUGGGGGACAGAAAUGGGCCUGGAGGUCCUGAAGACUUUGGCCUGGGAGGAGGAGAGAGUCCGAGGAGAGAGAGACAAUGUACUGAAGGUGUUUGAUAUUCCUGACAGUGUUUUCCACAGCAUUAAGAUGUCCUCCUACUCCUCCGCCAUGAAGAAACUCAAGAACUUCCAUCGUUAUCUAAAAGUUGACAGGCCGCUGACGUUUUCCGCCCAUCUGAAAAACAAAGACCGGAGGAUUCCUAUGCUGGGUCUGCAGUUCCUGGUUCAGUACAGUGUUACUAGGGCCGGGGCCUCGUCUCCAGGCUGGGGCUUCCUGUGUUUGUUGUGUGAGAGGAAGUUGUCAGACGGACUCAGCAUCGCUCACAUACACAGCUAUGAACAUGUCACCACGUUCCUGGAGCGUGCCCAUCCAGGCUCUGUGAAAGAGGUAGAGGAGUCUGAUAAGAGGAGCGAAAUACUGCUGGACCUGGCACAACAGGCUGAGAAAAUACACGCCAUGGGGUGUCUACAGGUAUCACACACACACUCACUCCACCAGACGUGUCCAGGUAAAACACUCCAAACCAACACAAAAAACCCACAGUUAUACCCUGUAGUGAUGCAUUGUCCUCAUCCCUCACUCUCUCCUUCUCCCUCUAUCCCUUAUAAGUUCAUGAUGUUGCAACGCUACAUCGGGGAGUCAGUCAUCUAUGAGAAAGCCUUAGUGAUCUUGAAGGCGAUCAAGAAGAGAGAGAACAUGGGAGACCUGAUGCCCAUGCUACCACCUGGCAAGAAACUGGUUCCCUCCAGUUCGAUCAGAGACCAGAGCCAGACUACCCCAGAACCUGCCCCUACAUCUGUAGGAGAGGAGAAACCGACCAGGAAAGAGACUGACAAAGACAAUGAGACCGAGAUGGACAGAGAGGCCACCCCAGAAACCAUUCAAAUGACCCAGGAGACUGGGGUGGAAGUGGACAAACGCAUUGGCAAAGAAACCUGCAGUGACCCCAGUAAAGACACUGGCAGAGAGACCAGUAAAGACACUGGCAGAGAGACCAGUAAAGACACUGGCAGAGAGACCAGUAAAGACACUGGCAGAGAGACCAGUAAAGACACUGGCAGAGAGACCAGUAAAGACACUGGCAGAGAGACCAGUAAAGACACUGGCAGAGAGACCAGCAGAGAGACCAGUAAAGACACUGGCAGAGAGACCAGUAAAGACACUGGCAGAGAGACCAGUAAAGACACUGGCAGAGAGACCAGUAAAGACACUGGC
ensembl:lncRNA